CCGCACCCGCAGACCGCCCGCACCCGCACCAGCACACUGCCCGAGCCCGUAUCCUCGCACUUCCUGUCAAACUCGCGUGCGUCGAUAAUUCGCUCAUCACUGUGCACCACCCCUCGGCGCCUGUUUGUGUGUCCGUUUCGUAGGGUGGUUUUGCUCUCUUAUAGAUCAGAAUAUCUCCAUACAAGCCGUCAGAACAACGAAGCCGCCCCCCAUCAUUGCCUCCCUCUACGUACACCGUUGUUGCCUUUUUUUCGUGGCUGCAGAGUAACCUGUGCAUCUGCGCAGACAUACUCGCCCACCGCACACAGACAUCGACAGACACACGAACCGAAAGAAACGCACGUGCCGAGAAGAGCAGACAGGCGCAGGUGCCUUCUGUGACAAUCUCCCACUGCUCAUCUUCGGUUCCCCUCUCUUUUCCCCUGCAUCGUUCUCUCCACGGGUGUACAUCUGCGCGAUCUCGUCGUUCCUCGAGUCGUAGUGAAGUCUCGUCUCGCCUUCGUCUUGCUCCGCAUAUCGUCGCCCUCCUCCUUUGGCGUUAUUACUGUCCCGCUCGUCAAAUAAGCUCGACAUCUGUCCUCCGUGAUUGUGCGAGUGCCUUUCUCUGUCUUCACUUCCUCGGUGCGUGUGGUGGUGGUUGCGCCUCUUUUUGAGAUUCCUGUAGUUGUCACCUCGUUUCAAAUUGUUUCAUCUUUCCAGGUAUAGAUCCUGUGUGUUUGCACGCCUUCCGUGGUCGCUGUCUUUACUGCGUCGGUUGGUUGCAGACACCUCUUUUCGUCGACUAUAUAUUUCUUUCGCCCUCGUCUUUUACAUCUAUUCCCAUUCGUUCUCUCAUCUCCCUAUAUAUUUGUUUUUCCCACCCGCGUCUGUUCGCGUCUCCGGAGGUUCCUCUCUGUGCCUUCUGUGGCUGUGUGCGCUGUUCUACUCGCCCUUUCUCGUGUCGCCGAAGCCCACGCUCUCGCCCCCUCCCCACCUCCGCCGACAUCCCUUCGGAACACGACGAGGACGGCAGAUAAGAAACGGCCGGCUCAUCGCCGACGUUGAGAUGCCGCUCCUUACCAGCUGUGCGGUGGUUUCCCUCCUCCUCGUGUGUGUUUUGUGGAGGAUGGAGGACGGAGUGGAGCUGUGCGCUGUGGGACUUGUGUCUUGUUUUGGCUGCCGCGCCUUGCGGAUGGCGAUGCGGUUCUCUUUGUUCUCACUGCACGCUUUCCUGGUGCUCGUGAGGGCGCACUGCCCUCUUGCCUAUACACUCCUUUUCGUGGCCGGAGGACUCGUUUUGCACGCGUGCGCCCUCCUCUAUCUCUCUCUUUCUUUGGGCAUGCGUGCUCUUCGCUCUUCGUGCCCCGCCUUUCCUUGCUGGCAGGCUUCGCCGAGCACCACGCCACUCCUCCGGGAAAUCAGCCGCAACGAACCACCGCCCGCGAAGAAUGAGCGGAACAACCCAGAUUAUAGCAGCAUGAAGCCGAGCAAGCGAGCAGCGAACCUGGAUAGCCGUGGGGCCACAAGUGCAGAUCAUUCUACAGCGGCUUCUCAUACAGAGGCGGUGCCGCCGUUGACAGUCGAUACAUUGACCGUUCCGCUAGUCCACGCCGAGUGCGCACCCACCACCGCACCGCUGUCGCCAGGAAACGGUCUUACACCCACACUGGCCGAGUGCGCAUCUGAGGCGGCGCGCCGGCCGACCGAGGCGGCGCCGGUGUCUGCAGUGGAGGCUCUGCCUCCGACGCCCGCUGAGUGCGCAUGGAACGCUGUGCCGCUGUCGAGGGGGUCUGUUCCACCGCUGCUAUUGCGCGGAGUUGAUGCUGAGGCUGAGUUGGCAGCGGCGCAGCUCGUAGUUGCGGCGCGCAGCGCAAUGACGCCAGCGCCUGUUUACAGGAGCUGUCACAAGCCCGUGUAUGUGGAACGGGGUGCUGCGUGGGACGCUGAGAUGGCGGUGAAAGCGAGUGUGAACCGUCUUCGUUGUCAGGCUUACGGCUCGCCAGUGCCGUAUGGCGCGCUGGAGGGGAGUAUUAUAGUGCCACCGACGCCGUUUGAUGACCAUUUUCCGGCUUCCGCGCCGCAUGCGUCGUAUUAUCAGUUAGACGCGCACAGGGCGGUGGCGCCAGCGUCGGCUUACAGCAGUGGUCACGCGGCGGUGUAUGCGGAGG
rnacentral:misc_RNA from 1 species